CUUGUUUUCAGGCACCAAAUUCCCUUUUGCCAUCGAGAAUGGAGGUUUGAAGAGCAGCACCCAAGGGAUGGUUUGCUUCUUUGCCUAUCUAUGCAUUACAAUCAAAGAAUCCCAAAUAUGAGGUAUCAACAGCAGCCCUAUGGGCCUUGGGGAAAGGGGUGAUUUUCUAGUUCUUCUGGACCUUUUUUCCCACCCUCUUGGAUCUACAAGUAUAAGCUUGCUUGUCUCAUCUCCUUCAGUUCAACAAGAAUUCCAUGUCUGAACCUUGACAGUCAAAUUUAAAACCUUGUGUCCUCUUCCCACUCCCAAAGUCAACAUGGCCCAUGAAACCUCACAGAAGGAGCAACUGGGAAUAAAAUUCUAUUUUGAGAGCCUC